rnacentral:rRNA from 1 species
GACGAACGCUGGCAGCGUGCCUAACACAUGCAAGUCGAACGGUGAAGCGCCUUCCUUUUUGGUGGGUGUGGAUGAGUGGCGAACGGGUGCGUAACACGUGAGUAACCUGCCCCCUUCUUCUGGAUAACCGCAUGAAAGUGCGGCUAAUACGGGAUAUUCUGGGUCUGUCGCAUGAUGGGUCUGGGAAAGAUAUUGUUUCGGUGGGGGAUGGGCUCGCGGCCUAUCAGCUUGUUGGUGGGGUGAUGGCUUACCAAGGCGGUGACGGGUAGCCGGCCUGGGAGGGUGGGCGGCCGGACUGGGAGUGAGACACGGCACAGAGGGCGACGGGAGGCGGCAGUGGGCAGUGUGGCGGAAGGGGCGCGAACCAGGUGCAGAGACGCCGCGUGAGGGAUGGGGGCCGUCGGGUUGUGAACCUCUUUCGCAGGGGAGGAAGGCCUGCCUCGUUGGGGGGUGGGUGAACGGUAGCGGGGUAAGAAGCACCGGCUAACUACGG